UACAGAGGUCUCAACCGUUGUUCGGAUUCAUUGGGCGUAAAGGGUGCGUAGGCGGUCGCGUAAGUCAGGUGUGAAAUCUCAGGGCUCAACUCCGAAACUGCAUUCGAUACUGCCGUGCUUGAGGACUGGAGAGGAGACUGGAAUUUACGGUGUAGCGGUGAAAUGCGUAGAUAUCGUAAGGAAGACCAGUGGCGAAGGCGGGUCUCUGGACAGUUCCUGACGCUGAGGCACGAAGGCCAGGGGAGCAAACGGG
rnacentral:rRNA from 1 species